rnacentral:rRNA from 1 species
UACGUAGGGUGCAAGCGUUGUCCGGAAUUAUUGGGCGUAAAGAGCUCGUAGGCGGUUUGUUGCGUCGGCUGUGAAAACCCGGGGCUCAACCCCGGGCCUGCAGCCGAUACGGGCAGACUAGAGUUCGGCAGGGGAGACUGGAAUUCCUGGUGUAGCGGUGAAAUGACGCAGAUAUCAGGAGGAACACCGGUGGCGAAGGCGGGUCUCUGGGCCGAUACUGACGCUGAGGAGCGAAAGCGUGGGGAGCGAACAGG